AUCUGUGCUGGUGGAGACACAUGUGCACGUUGGCGAGUCGCAAAUCCACACACUUGUGCAUCUAUGACUCUGAGUACCGCUUUGCAUGGCCUUCAGGGGCCUGGUACUCGAGUACUUUACACACUCUGAAUGUAAUGGAAUGUCUUUUUGUACAAUGUACAACUAAAAACAACUUUCAACAACGGAUCUCUUGGCUCUCGCAUCGAUGAAGAACGCAGCGAAAUGCGAUAAGUAAUGUGAAUUGCAGAAUUCAGUGAAUCAUCGAAUCUUUGAACGCACCUUGCACCCUUUGGUAUUCCGAAGGGUACACCCGUUUGAGUGUCAUUGUAAUCUCACUACGACCACUUUAUUGUUGUUUGUAUGUGGACUUGGAUGUUGCCGUGUAACAAACGGCUCGUCUGAAAUGCCUGAGUGUACCCUGCUUUUGCGGCGUAUUCGGUGUGAUAAAUCUUCACCGGAGUUGACUUUCGGGUCGCGCUUGUAUUGUCAGGCCCUAUGCUUCCAACCGUCCUAACAAGACAAUCUCUGACAAUUUGACCUCAAAUCGGGUGGGACUACCCGCUGAACUUAAGCAUAUCAAUAAGCGGAGGAAAAGAAACUAACAAGGAUUCCCCUAGUAACGGCGAGUGAAGAGGGAAAAGCUCAAAUUUUGAAUCUGGUGUCUUUGACUCCCGAGUUGUAAUCUAGAGAAGUGUUUUCCGUGUUGGACCGUGUACAAGUUCCCUGGAACGGGGCGUCAUAGAGGGUGAGAAUCCCGUAUAUGCCACGGACUACCAAUGCUCUGUGAUACACUCUCAACGAGUCGAGUUGUUUGGGAAUGCAGCUCAAAAUGGGUGGUAAAUUCCAUCUAAAGCUAAAUAUUGGCGAGAGACCGAUAGCGAACAAGUACCGUGAGGGAAAGAUGAAAAGCACUUUGGAAAGAGAGUGAAACAGUACGUGAAAUUGUUGAAAGGGAAGCGUUUGAAGUCAGUCACGUCUGUCGGAAUUCAGCCUGGCUUCUGCCUGGUGUACUUUCCGUCCGACGGGUCAGCAUCAAUUUCGACCGAGGGAAAAAGACGUGAGGAAUGUGGCUGUCUUCGGGCAGUGUUAUAGCCUCGCGUUGUAUGUCUCGGUUGGGAUUGAGGAACGCAGCGCGCC
rnacentral:rRNA from 1 species